rnacentral:rRNA from 1 species
GAUGAACGCUGGCGGCGUGCCUAAUACAUGCAAGUCGAGCGAACAGACGAGGAGCUUGCUCCUUUGACGUUAGCGGCGGACGGGUGAGUAACACGUGGGUAACCUACCUAUAAGACUGGGAUAACUUCGGGAAACCGGAGCUAAUACCGGAUAAUAUUUCGAACUGCAUGGUUCGAUAGUGAAAGAUGGCUUUGCUAUCACUUAUAGAUGGACCUGCGCCGUAUUAGCUAGUUGGUAAGGUAACGGCUUACCAAGGCAACGAUACGGGUAGCCGGACCUGAGAGGGUGAUCGGCCACACUGGAACUGAGACACGGUCCAGACUCCUACGGGAGGCAGCAGUAGGGAAUCUUCCGCAAUGGGCAAAGCCUGACGGAGCAACGCCGCGUGAGUGAUGAAGGUCUUCGGAUCGUAAAACUCUGUUAUUAGGGAAGAGCAAACGUGUAAGUAACUGUGCACGUCUUGACGGUACCUAAUCAGAAAGCCAACGGCUAACUACGUGCCAGCAGCCGCGGUAA